GCCUUCGUGGUGUAAUGGUCAGCACACUGAGCCGGUAUUUCAGAGGUCCGUGGUUCGAACCUCGGCGAAGGCA
rnacentral:tRNA from 1 species